UACGUAGGGGGCAAGCGUUGUCCGGAAUCAUUGGGCGUAAAGCGCGUGUAGGCGGCCCGAUAAGUCCGCUGUGAAAGUCCAGGGCUCAACCCUGGGAUGCCGGUGGAUACUGUCGGGCUCGAGUCCGGAAGAGGCGAGUGGGAAUUCCUGGUGUAGCGGUGGAAUGCGCAGAUAUCAGGAGGAACACCUGCGGUGUAGACGGCUUUCUGGACCAUUGUUGACGCUGAGACACGAAAGCGUGGGUAGCAAACAGG
rnacentral:rRNA from 1 species